rnacentral:rRNA from 1 species
GACGAACGCUGGCGGCGUGCUUAACACAUGCAAGUCGAACGGUGAAGCGCCUUCCUUUUUGGUGGGUGUGGAUGAGUGGCGAACGGGUGAGUAACACGUGAGUAACCUGCCCCCUUCUUCUGGAUAACCGCAUGAAAGUGUGGCUAAUACGGGAUAUUCUGGGUCUGUCGCAUGAUGGGUCUGGGAAAGAUAUUGUUUCGGUGGGGGAUGUGCUCGCGGCCUAUCAGCUUGUUGGUGGGGUGAUGGCCUACCAAGGCGGUGACGGGUAGCCGGCCUGAGAGGGUGGACGGUCACACUGGGACUGAGACACGGCCCAGACUCAUACGGGAGCCAGCAGUGGGGAAUAUUGCACAAUGGGCGCAAGCCUGAUGCAGCGACGCCGAGUGAGGGAUGGAGGCCUUCGGGUUGUGAACCUCUUUCGCCAGUGAAGCAGGCCUGCCUCGUUUGUGGGUGGGUUGACGGUAGCUGGAUAAGAAGCGCCGGCUAACUACGUG